UACGGAGGGUGCAAGCGUUGCUCGGAAUCAUUGGGCGUAAAGCGUACGCAGGCUGUUCGUUAAGUCGGGUGUGGAAGCCCGGGGCUCAACCCCGGAACGGCGCCCGAAACUGGCGAGCUUGAAUGCGGGAGAGGGAAGCGGAAUUCCUGGUGUAGAGGUGAAAUUCGUAGAUAUCAGGAGGAACACCGGUGGCGAAAGCGGCUUCCUGGCCCGACAUUGACGCUCAUGUACGAAAGCGUGGGGAGCAAACAGG
rnacentral:rRNA from 1 species